GAUGAACGCUGGCGGCGUGCCUAAUACAUGCAAGUCGAGCGAAUGGAUUAAGGGCUUGCUCUUAUGAAGUUAGCGGCGGACGGGUGAGUAACACGUGGGUAACCUGCCCAUAAGACUGGGAUAACUCCGGGAAACCGGGGCUAAUACCGGAUAACAUUUUGAACCGCAUGGUUCGAAAUUGAAAGGCGGCUUCGGCCGUCACUUAUGGAUGGACCCGCGUCGCAUUAGCUAGUUGGUGAGGUAACGGCUCACCAAGGCAACGAUGCGUAGCCGACCUGAGAGGGUCAUCGGCCACACUGGGCCUGAGACACGGCCCAGACUCCUACGGGAGGCAGCAGUAGGGAAUCUUCCGCAAUGGACGAAAGUCUGACGGAGCAACGCCGCGUGAGUGAUGAAGGCUUUCGGGUCGUAAAACUCUGUUGUUAGGGAAGAACAAGUGCUAGUUGAAUAAGCUGGCACCUUGACGGUACCUAACCAGAAAGCCACGGCUAACUACGUGCCAGCAGCCGCGGUAA
rnacentral:rRNA from 1 species